CGUGUAGGCGGCGUGGUAAGUCGGAUGUGAAAGUCCCGGGCUCAACCCGGGAAGUGCAUUCGAAACUGCUAGGCUUGAGUAAGAGAGAGGAAAGUGGAAUUCCUGGUGUAGAGGUGAAAUUCGUAGAUAUCAGGAGGAACACCGGUGGCGAAGGCGACUUUCUGGCUCUAUACUGACGCUGAGACGCGAAAGCGUGGGUAGCAAACAGGAUUAGAUACCCUGGUAGUCC
rnacentral:rRNA from 1 species